rnacentral:tmRNA from 1 species
GGGGGCGCCUUGGUUUCGACAUGGAUUCUGAGGUUUGCGUGGCGUGUCGUGGGUGUUAGUGACCACGUCUAACUGCUAACAAAACACAAUUGCAAACGAUAACGUUGCACUCCGUAUGGCUGCUUAAGUAGCCCUACGGCCGAUGCUUCUAAUAUAAUUGAAGCCCGUCUCUCUUGAACUCUGCCUGUGGUUCUUGAGAGGCGACUCAUAGCAGGCUUGGUAUCAGGGGCUUCGUCCCUUCGACCUGAUACGACAUAUCGAAUGGCACUCCCCAAGGUGGCCUGUGCGUGGGCAGCUGGUAUGGAGUCUAAGAAAUCAAACACGUACUACACACGUAGAAGCGUAAGUCGAUGGUCUGUGGACGCGGGUUCGAUUCCCGCCGCCUCCAUUU